UACGGGAGGCAGCAGUGGGGAAUAUUGCACAAUGGGCGAAAGCCUGAUGCAGCUAUGCCGCGUGUAUGAAGAAGGCCUUAGGGUUGUAAAGUACUUUCAUCGGGGAGGAAAAAACAAAACUAAUAAUUUUAUUUCUUGACGUUACCCGAAAAAGAAGCACCGGCUAACUCCGUGCCAGCAGCCGCGGUAAUACGGAGGGUGCUAGCGUUAAUCAGAAUUACUGGGCGUAAAGAGCACGUAGGUUGGUUUUUUUAAGUCAGAUGUGAAAUCCCUGGGCUUAACCUAGGAACUGCAUUUUGAAACUGAAAUACUAGAGUAUCGUAGAGGGAGGUAGAAUUCUAGGUGUAGCGGUGAAAUGCGUAGAUAUCUGGAGGAAUACCUGUGGCGAAAGCGGCCUCCUAAACGAAUACUGACACUGAGGUGCGAAAGCGUGGGGAGCAAACAGGGAUUAGAUACCCGU
rnacentral:rRNA from 1 species